GGACGAACGCUGGCGGCGNUGCUUAACACAUGCAAGUCGAACGANUGAACCACUUCGGNUGGGGAUUAGUGGCGAACGGGUGAGUAACACGUGGGCAAUCUGCCCUUCACUCUGGGACAAGCCCUGGAAACGGGGUCUAAUACCGGAUACGACUACUGAGGGCAUCCUUGGNUGGUGGAAAGCUCCGGCGGUGAAGGAUGAGCCCGCGGCCUAUCAGCUUGNUUGGUGAGGUAACGGCUCACCAAGGGCGACGACGGGUAGCCGGCCUGAGAAGGGCGACCGGCCACACUGGAACUGAGACACGGCCCAGACUCCUUACGGGAAGGCAGCAGGUGGGGAAUAUUGCACAAUUGGGCCGAAAGCCUGAUGCAGCGACGCCGCCGNUGAGGGGAUUGACGGCCCUUCGGGGUUGUAAACCCUCUUUUCAAGCAAGGGGAAGAAGCGAAAGUGACGGUUC
rnacentral:rRNA from 1 species